GUUGUCCGGAUUUAUUGGGUUUAAAGGGUGCGUAGGCGGCCCGUUAAGUCAGUGGUGAAAGCCUCCAGCUCAACUGGAGAACUGCCAUUGAUACUGACGGGCUUGAGUACAGACGAGGUUGGCGGAAUUGAUUGUGUAGCGGUGAAAUGCAUAGAUACAAUCAAGAACUCCGAUUGCGUAGGCAGCUAACUAGGCUGUAACUGACGCUGAGGCACGAAAGCGUGGGGAGCGAACAGG
rnacentral:rRNA from 1 species